AUGGGGUCCGGGACUCCCCUCCUGUGGAUUCUGCUGCUCUGCGCUCCAGGCUGCACUGGGGACAUUGUGCUGACCCAGUCUCCAGCCUCUUUGACCGUGUCUCCAGGGCAGAGGGCCACCAUCUCUUGCAAGACCAGUCAGAAAGUCGGUGACAUUUUGGGCAUUACACACUAUAUUACAUGGUAUCAACAAAAAUCAGGACAGCGUCCGAGAAUGCUGAUUUAUAAAGCAUCCAGUCAAGCGUCUGGGGUCCCGGCCCGGUUCAGUGGCAGUGGGUCUGGGACUGAAUUCAGUCUCACGAUUGAUCCUGUGGAGGAUGGCGAUGCUGCCAACUAUUACUGCCAGCAGAGUAAGGAGACGCCUCCCACGGUGCUCUGGGUCUAAACAAAAACCUCCCCAGGUGGCUGCUCAGUCAUUUCAAUGAAAAAAAAAAAAAAAAAAAAAAAAAAAA